rnacentral:pre_miRNA from 1 species
AGUGGAAUUGCCAGGUCAUAUGAUAACUCUAUGUUUAACUUUUUAAGGAACUGCCAAACUGUUUUCCAAAGUGGCUGUACCAUUUUGUAUUCCCACUAGUGAU